UACGAAGGGGGCUAGCGUUGCUCGGAAUUACUGGGCGUAAAGCGCACGUAGGCGGCUUUCUAAGUCGGGGGUGAAAUCCUGGAGCUCAACUCCAGAACUGCCUUCGAUACUGGAGAGCUUGAGUCCGGGAGAGGUGAGUGGAACUGCGAGUGUAGAGGUGAAAUUCGUAGAUAUUCGCAAGAACACCAGUGGCGAAAGGCGGCCUCAGCUGGCCCGGGUAC
rnacentral:rRNA from 1 species